CCUCUGCAAGGUUUUCAGUUCAGCUGCAGUGUGCCUCACACCAGAGAACUGCCUAGCGCCCAGUCCAGCCCUCUGCAAGCACGUGGGCUUAGCCCUGAGCGGUGCCGGUGUGAGCAGACACCCGGGCUCCCGAGGGAAGCGCUGGCCACACGCAGGACCUGCUGCAGACAUCAGGCUUGCAACAGCCUGUGGACGCUGCUGCUACUUUCUCGCCUGCAACCUCUGGGGACGAGCAAGGAGCAGGGUAAGGCGUUUCCCAUCCAAUGCACCAGCCCAGAGGAGGGGGAGGGCGCGCAGGGGAGGGAGCUGCCGGGUGACAGGCGGUCACAGGUGCUGCUGUUGCCUCUGAGUCACGGGAGAGGCGUCUCGGCGCCCCAACCAGCUGCUGCUCCCCCUCCCCCUCCUCGAGGCUGCUGCGGCUGCCAGCCCAGACAGAGCCAACUCCUCACAGGCGGCCUUGCUUGCAGGAGGAGCAGCCAGCGAGCCGCGCAGCCGGGGGAAGGAGCAGACGCCCCGGGAAGCCUGGCGUGCUGUCUGUUACAGAUACAGAAAUCUAGAUGGGAUUUCAAAGAUAAGAGAUGGACAGAGUGUCUUGUCAGGGCUUGAAAAAUACAUUCGUCUGGUGACUAAGUGACAAAUCAACGAGGUUUUCUCAGGUUUUGGAAGUAACAGAGUACUUGGUCACUAAAUCCUCACCUGAAGGACGGUUGUAUGCUUAAACUUGGAAGGCUCUACGUUGGGGUUCUUCAGCUCUCUUAAUUCCCAGGUUUUCUUUCCCAGAAGAAAUGGACCUUGUGUGUGAGAAGCGUCCAAGUCAAUAAUGCGACGACGAUAACAUUGAAAGUCUGCUGGAGAAGAAUCGCUAAUUCUUAUAAGUGGUUUUUGGUUUUUUUUCAUCCCUUAUAAAACAAACCA
rnacentral:lncRNA from 1 species